AUUGAACGCUGGCGGCAGGCCUAACACAUGCAAGUCGAACGAGUGGCGGACGGGUGAGUAAUGUCUGGGAAACUGCCUGAUGGAGGGGGAUCACUACUGGAAACGGUAGAUAAUACCGCAUACCAUCGGAUGUGCCCAGAUGGGAUUAGCUAGUAGGUGGGGUAAAGGCUCACCUAGUCGACGCUCCCUAGCUGGUCUGAGAGGAUGACCAGCCACACUGGAACUGAGACACGGUCCAGACUCCUACGGGAGGCAGCAGUGGGGAAUAUGGCACAAUGGGCGCAAGCCUGAUACAGCCAUGCCGCGUGUAGGAAGAAGGCCUUCGGGUUGUAAAGUACUUUCAGCGGGGAGGCGUUACCCGCAGAAGAAGCACCGGCUAACUCCGUGCCAGCAGCCGCGGUAAUUC
rnacentral:rRNA from 1 species